UCACAGAGGCGGGCUCCAGUGACGUCAGGGGCCAGAGGGUAUAUCAUCAGGAGUUAGCCUGCCCUGGCUCAUAUCUGCUCCCCUCCCGACUCCUAGAGUUUUGGGGAGCUGGAGUACAUAUCUUGAGUUCCAAAGAUGCCAAGGGUCCACACCAACUUCCACUGGAGGCUCAGGCGCCGUAAGAAGUCCAGAAAGCGCUCAAGAAUAGUCCGCCCUGAGAAUCCCGGGCCGGCACCCAAGGUCUGCCGGAUUUUGCCAAUCAGGAGAAGAGUGGCCCUCCCUCCACCUGCAGAGGUGAGCAUCAUGGACAUCACUAAGAUCGUCUCCCUGCUGCAGAUAUCGUAAAAAGACCAUGAGGGAGAAGCCAGAUGAAAUUGUUAAAAUGCCACUAAUUCAGGAUAACAACUUUACCAGGAGCGCCAUAAUUCCAGCAGCAGCAGCCUCAGAGGCUGAUCAUAAUCCACUAGUGAAGAGACUGAUGUUAGUAGAAUAAAACAAUCCCAGACAAUAAAAUUGUGGCGUACCUUAGAACUCAAAUCUGA